rnacentral:rRNA from 1 species
GAGUAAUGCCUAGGAGAUUGCCCUGAUGUGGGGGAUAACCAUUGGAAACGAUGGCUAAUACCGCAUGAUGCCUACGGGCCAAAGAGGGGGACCUUCGGGCCUCUCGCGUCAGGAUAUGCCUAGGUGGGAUUAGCUAGUUGGUGAGGUAAUGGCUCACCAAGGCGACGAUCCCUAGCUGGUCUGACAGGAUGAUCAGCCACACUGGAACUGAUACACGGUCCAGACUCCUACGGGAGGCAGCAGUGGGGAAUAUUGCACAAUGGGCGCAAGCCUGAUGCAGCCAUGCCGCGUGUGUGAAGAAGGCCUUCGGGUUGUAAAGCACUUUCAGUCGUGAGGAAGGUGGUAGUGUUAAUAGCACUAUCAUUUGACGUUAGCGACAGAAGAAGCACCGGCUAACUCCGUGCCAGCAGCCGCGGUAAUACGGAGGGUGCGAGCGUUAAUCGGAAUUACUGGGCGUAAAGCGCAUGCAGGUGGUUUGUUAAGUCAGAUGUGAAAGCCCGGGGCUCAACCUCGGAAUAGCAUUUGAAACUGGCAGACUAGAGUACUGUAGAGGGGGGUAGAAUUUCAGGUGUAGCGGUGAAAUGCGUAUAGAUCUGAAGGAAUACCGGUGGCGAAGGCGGCCCCCUGGACAGAUACUGACACUCACAUGCGAAAGCGUGGGGAGCAUACAGGAUUAGAUACCCUGGUAGUCCACGCCGUACACGAUGUCUACUUGGAGGUUGUGGCCUUGAGCCGUGGCUUUCGGAGCUAACGCGUUAAGUAGACCGCCUGGGGAGUACGGUCGCAAGAUUAAAACUCAUAUGAAUUGACGGGGGCCCGCACAAGCGGUGGAGCAUGUGGUUUAAUUCGAUGCAACGCGAA